UCCGACUGGCUUCCAGGCAGCCAAGACCCCCUCGAAGUGGUCAUGAAAAGUGUAACUUUAGCCUCUCAGCUGUACGUCUCAAUCCAUAAUCCUUCCCCAAAAACCUCACGGUAGAGCCGCCUACCACUCCCAUGGCGUUCCCAGCCUGUGCCGGGCUGGGCCUGCCUGAUUUAUGUAGCAGUCCUGUGUCAUACUCUCAACCUGAAAGGGAUUUGCUCUCCUAUAUUUACCAGGGUGGUCAGGGCAACUCUCUGGAAACACAGAAAGCCCAGUCUCUGGGCCUCACUCCCAGACAGUUGUUUCACCCUCCUGUGUCAAUAACGUGGACAGUUUGGACCUUAACAGAGUCAGAUGAGGCUCCAGAGUUCCCAUAGAGGGGUGUUUCAGCAGUGCAGAGGUCAGAGUCCGUGCACUCACGCCAACGCAGCCACAUGGCCACGUUUUGGUAUGCAGAUACACAGACGCAGGCCAGGAAGGGAGGGAUGCUGCCAGGAGCCACGCCGCGGAGCUAUCGACCCUGCCACUUUCCCAUCCUGUGGGUGACAGCUGCGGUGCCAACGAGCCUGGGGACGCCACGCUGCCCUGCCACGUAGGAAGGACGGCCAGCAACUCUGCCUCGGUGCUGACGGGGAGGGAAAGUCACAAAUGAUCUGCUCGUGAAUGUCACAUCCAUGUAAACAACCCCAGCAAACACUUUGCUGUUGAGUUGAGUCCGAUACGGUGACCUGUUCCACUGUGACAAAAAAAACAAAAAAAAUGUUUUCGACUCAAAACUUUUUCUGAAUCUGUUUCAAUGUAAGUUUUACCGAGUUACAAAAAAUGUUUGAGGAUGUGCAGCUGAAAGUAGAGGUUGUAUAAACAAAGGAAAAGUUGCCACAGAUGCUUUUAACAACAUUGGGUUAAAAAUGGGUUCUUUUAAAUUUACUUCAAAUCGUGUUGAGUACAGUCGGACCAAAUGCUGGGAAUGCAACCUUUUGUACGUAAAAAGUUGAAGUCACAUCUACAAAGCCCCGAUCCCUGCAUAAUCCUUUGUAAACUGUUAAAAGUUGUGUUGGCAAUUUAAGUGUUUUUGGCAUGUGUUGUGCACUUAAAGUGUUACCGUAGGGAAUAUAUUUUCUCAUGCUGCACCAUGUUGCUAAGAUAUGCCUGAUGUUGUGCUUCCUAGUGUACUUUGUAACGCAGAUGGCACACCACUGUAUACCUUUUAUCAGAGCACACACCCCCCCAACACACACACACUUUUUUUUUU